UGGCUGUAGCCAAAUGAAUUCGAUUAGAGAAGCUAUCUGGCCGGUUGUUGUGAGAUCCAUUUUGGUUCUCUGUCAACAAAUCUGCUUACCGAGCUUCUUACAUUU